rnacentral:rRNA from 1 species
UACGGGGGGGGGCAAGCGUUGUUCGGAAUUACUGGGCGUAAAGGGGACGUAGGCGGCCAACUAAGUCCGACGUGAAAUCCCAAGGCUUAACCUUGGAACUGCGUCGGAUACUGGAUGGCUUGAAUUCGGGAGAGGGAUGCAGAAUUCCAGGUGUAGCGGUGAAAUGCGUAGAUAUCAGGAGGAACACCGGUGGCGAAGGCGGGUCUCUGGGCCGAUACUGACGUGGAGGAGCGAAAAGCGUGGGGGAGCGAACAGG